rnacentral:rRNA from 1 species
UGACUCCUACGGGGGGCAGCAGUGGGGAAUAUUGCACAAUGGGGGAAACCCUGAUGCAGCGACGCCGCGUGAGUGAAGAAGUAUUUCGGUAUGUAAAGCUCUAUCAGCAGGGAAGAUAAUGACGGUACCUGACUAAGAAGCCCCGGCUAACUACGUGCCAGCAGCCGCGGUAAUACGUAGGGAGCAAGCGUUAUCCGGAUUUAUUGGGUGUAAAGGGUGCGUAGACGGGUAUACAAGUUAGUAGUGAAAUCCCUCGGCUUAACGGAGGAACUGAUACUAAAACUAUAUAUCUUGAGUACUGGAGG